CCUUGGAUGAGGAUUAAAAACAACAAAAAAGAUCCCGUGUGAGUGUGGAGGUUUGUCCAAUAGUAAAUAAAUGUCUGUCAACAGUGGCUGCUGGCCCUACUAUGUGCCAUUUGCAUCUGAUAGGGACAGAUGUGGAAGAUGGGAAUGGGAACAUAUUGGCCCCCAUUCUAGCCUCUGAAGGCGAGUCCAUCCUCCCGGGAGGCAGGCGUUUUGUGCAGAGCUUCUGAAAUCAGCCAGCCCUUCUCUCGCCGCUGCUUCUGAAUCCAGAAGGCGCUUGUGUUUGUCCGAGUCGUUUGUCCUUCAGUGGACGCCUCCCCCUGGGUGCCUGCCAAAGCCCGCAGAGGCACAGCCCUGACUGUGUCGGGUCCCACGCCUCCCCUCCUCCCCAGUCCCUGGUCCCCACGCUGUCCCUCCCUCUCCCCGUCCUUGUUCAACUCAACAUCCAUUUCGUAUUUGUGCAGCUCUCAUUUCCCCUUCCGUGGGGUUCCGUUUGCCCCCCUACGGUGUAAAAGGGGAACCAGCCCCCCUUCCUCUGCCCAGGGGCCCCUCCCCGCUCAGCGUUUCUUUGGAGAAAGGAGUCGACCUUCUGUCCUCUUUCUGGUGCAUUUAGCCGUGGGCUUGGACGGAACACGGACCUGUGGGACGUGUGGGGAGGAGCGCUCGGAGUCGGAUUGGACACAGCGCACUGUGUGCUGUGACCCCCACGCAGGGGCACGGGGGAGGGGGGGGUGCCUGCCUGCACGCCGGGUCCCAGGUCACCUCUCCUCACAUCCAGGGCGUGGCCUGCAUCUAAAUGAGCACACCACUGACUUCAGAAGCCAUUAGGCUCCUGCAAGGGUGGCCUGAUCCAGUUGAUCCAGUUCCGUCCUGUGACCUGCUACCGGGAAUGGCAGCCUCAGGCCGGCGUUCGAUUGGAAAGAAGUCGGGAAGAAAGCCGCCCAGACCGAGAGCCAGGGGGCUGUGGAUGAUGGCGUUAGACCGGUGCUUUAUUUAGUGUGAGAAGAAAGCUAAUGCGUUCUGAUUGUGGAGCAACUGGGAAGGAGAGACAGAGAAACAGAAACGAGGAUGCGGCCUCACAAGGCAGCACUCAGAGCUGCUACUGAGUUCCUAAACCUGGUGCCAUGGCUUUGCUCAAGGUUGAGCCAUAAACAUCCCGGACCAGACCGGCUGUGACAGGGACUUGACUUCCUCCUGGUAGUUUUCGCCCCUUCAUUUGCAUAUUGGAACUAACCAAUCCCUGUGGACCUAGCCUGAUCCUUCAUUUGCAUGAAAGAAUUACCCGUGUGGUUUUGCCGUUAUAACUUCUCUGUCUUCUCCCCGGAGUGCUGUUGGGUUGCUCCCUACAUCUGAGCCUCCUGGGCUGCAGCUCCUUUUGCUCAAAUAAAUGCUUUUAUAUUCUUGUUUACCAUCUGAAA